UCCCUGAUAGCAUAAUCGGUCAAUGCGCCCGGCUCAUAACCGGAGGAAGGUGCGGUUCAAAUCCGCCUCGGGGAACCA
rnacentral:tRNA from 1 species